CAGAGUCGUAAAAAACUCCCAAACCCAUGUGAACUUACCUUUGUUGCCUCGGCAGGACCUACCCGGUAACUACCCUGUAGCUACCCUGUAGCCUGCCGGUGGACUAUUAAACUCUUGUUAUUAUAUGGAAAUCUGAGCGUCUUAUUAAAUAAGUCA
rnacentral:misc_RNA from 2 species